GCAGCCCGUCUAAAAAUAUCCGCAAUUCAGAUUUAUUUCGGGUCAAAUAAUUCAAAUCAAAUUCAUACCGAUAUCGAAAACUCUGAAAUUGGAGACGCUUGAAAAUGUUCGGUAGAAGCAGGUUUCUCUCGUUCCCAAUGGUGAUCGGAGCAGUUGUGAUUGGAGUUGUUUCAGGAAAGGCGAUUUUUGGACCACCACUUGAUGAGUAUUGGAAAAAGAAGCUUCAGGAAGAGGCAGCUGCCAAGGGAUCUGAUUCAAAAUCAAGUUCUGACCUAUCAUCUUGAAUAUUCUUGCAGUGAUUAUUUUGUAAAAGGAAUUAUUGUUGGAUUGUCAAAAGCAUUUUUCUAGUCAAAUUCUUAAAACAAUAAAAUUAUGGCAGGGAUGUUAAGAAGACCUGUGUUAGAAUUAUUCAUGGCACGAAGGAUAAGUGAAUUCCAAACAGACCAGUUAGGGCAGUUACACUUAUAAGGCAGAACUCUGUUAGAAAUACCUUUGAUAUGAAGGGAAAAAAAUAUCUCCAAGCAAAGGGAUAGUUUUUUGGAUAAGCAUUCUACUGGAUCUUUGAAACAACCGAUAGGGGAAAAAUGCUCCCCUUGAUACCAUUGCGAAUUAGGGCGAUUGUCAUAUGAGGACAAAGUUGCAGAGAAGAGCUAUCUUCAUACACUAGUGAGUACAUUGAGGUAAUUUCUCGAGAAGAAGUUGAAGUGAAGACUGAAGACAUGUUUGUUGCAUAGAGUACUAAGUUGACACCUACUGAGGGGGCAAGCGAUUGAUCUUGAUGAUGGAAAUCACCAUUCUUAUUUAGCUUCUAAGGAAGAUGUUGAGCCAAGUUCAUGCAUUGAAGACCACUUUUUGCUAUUUUUUCUCUUAUUUAUUGCUUAUAAAAUUGUAAUUAUAAUAUGACACAAUUAACAAAAUCUCAAUUUUGAAGUUGCAACUUUAUUUAAUUGUUACUCUACAUGAUUUAAGGAUUUUAGUAUACACCUAUAAGCAAUUAGCGAACAAAGACUUGAAAUGUAAAUGUAAGAAUCAAGUGUUAGUGUACCUGAACCUAGGCAUCUAGUUUGUGAGGCUUUGGUGCCCCCUAGUCAUGAACAAACAUGGAGUUCACGUUGUUGCAAUGCUUUAAAUAAAUAUGUAGUCUUCUAAGUGGA